AUACGGAGGAUGCAAGCGUUAUCCGGAUUUAUUGGGUUUAAAGGGUGCGUAGGCGGUUUGCUAAGCGGGAGGUGAAAUGCCGGCGCUCAACGUCGGAAGCGCCUCCCGAACUGGUGGACUGGAAUGACUCUGCCGUGGGAGGAAUGUGUAGUGUAGCGGUGAAAAGCUUAGAGAGUACACAGAACACCGAUUGCGAAGUCAGCACACGAAGGGUUGAUUUACGCUGAGGCUCAGAAGCGUGCGGGUCAAACAGAAUUAAAUCCCCUGGUAGUUCUCGCAGUAAGCGAUGAUGUCUGACCUGAUGUUUAUUCGGUUGUACGGCUAAGCGAAAGCUAUUCGCAUUCAAGCUGGGACGCAAGACAUCAAGGUUGAAACUCAAAUGAAUUGACUGGG
rnacentral:rRNA from 1 species